GGCCAAACCUUUGACAUCUGCCACUAAUGACCACACCUUCGAGAAUUGGCUAGCCCAAAGCCGGCUCAAGUACUAAAGUGGCACUGGGAUUAAGGCAGAGCAAGGACAGGCUAGGAAGUCUGAUGGUGGCAAAAACUCCAUCAACGAUGUCCUCUUUAUUGAUGUUGCCACUUGUGCCGCUCAAGGAGAAAGUGGCAGCAAUGGGGUUGAUGGUGGAGGUGGGCUUUAGCCUCAUCAGAAGUUGCUUAACAGAUGGAUAGCUGAGUUGGGUCAAUCAUGGCAAAAAUGAAGAUGAAAGAGAAUAGGAAGACUGAAGAAAUGUGGUACCUCCAGUCCUCAAUGGAACCACAAUCAGUUGAUGACUGAUGAAUGGCAAAUGGUGAUGACCAAUGAGGGAUGAGCUUCAAGGAAGAUCGAUGCUGGUGAUCGGUGAAUGGCGAGUAGGGACUGUCAAGAUAGACUUUGGAGUAGUGGAUGGUCAUAGAGAGGAGAGCAAAAAUUGAGAAGUGAAAAAUUGAGAACCCUAGGCCUUGAUAGAUAGACAUUUUGAUUUGGGAAUUGGGAUUUGGUUGGGACUUUUUGAGAGAAGAAGAGCCUAGUGAACUAUUUUGAUUUUAGAAUUUGUACG
rnacentral:lncRNA from 1 species